UUUUUACUACGAAGAGUUUGAUCCUGGCUCAGGAUGAACGCUAGCGGCAGGCCUAAUACAUGCAAGUCGAACGUCAUUUUUGACUUCGGUUAAAAAUGAGUGGCGAACGGGUGAGUAACACGUAUGCAACCUACCCCUUACCGGGGAAUAGCUUCGAGAAAUCGAAAUUAAUACCCCAUAAUAUUUAACUUGGGCAUCCUUGUUAAAUUAAAGUUCCGGCAGUAAGGGAUGGGCAUGCGGCCCAUUAGCUUGUUGGUGAAGGUAACGGCUCACCAAGGCAACGAUGGGUAGCUGGUCUGAGAGGAUGAUCAGCCACACUGGCACUGAGACACGGGCCAGACUCCUACGGGAGGCAGCAGUAGGGAAUAUUGGUCAAUGGACGAAAGU
rnacentral:rRNA from 1 species